GCCCAGGUGGCGGAAUUGGUAGACGCGCUGGUUUCAGGUAUCAGUGAUCGCAAGAUCGUGGAAGUUCGAGUCUUCUCCUGGGCACCA
rnacentral:tRNA from 38 species